GACGAACGCUGGCGGCGUGCUUAACACAUGCAAGUCGAACGAUGAAGCCGGAGCUUGCUCUGGUGAAUUAGUGGCGAACGGGUGAGUAACACGUGAGUAACCUGCCCUUGACUCUGGGAUAACUGCUAGAAAUGGUAGCUAAUACCGGAUACGACCCUCGGAGGCAUCUCCAGGGGGUGGAAAGAACUUCGGUCAAGGAUGGACUCGCGGCCUAUCAGCUAGUUGGUGAGGUAAUGGCUCACCAAGGCGACGACGGGUAGCCGGCCUGAGAGGGGGGCCGGCCACACUGGGACUUAGACACGGCCCAGACUCCUACGGGAGGCAGCAGUGGGGAAUAUUGCACAAUGGGCGCAAGCCUGAUGCAGCAACGCCGCGUGAGGGAUGACGGCCUUCGGGUUGUAAACCUCUUUUAGUAGGGAAGAAGCGAAAGUGACGGUACCUGCAGAAAAAGCACCGGCUAACUACGUGCCAGCCGCCGCCGUAA
rnacentral:rRNA from 1 species